rnacentral:rRNA from 1 species
AUUGAACGCUGGCGGCAGGCCUAACACAUGCAAGUCGAACGGUAACAGGAAGAAGCUUGCUUCUUUGCUGACGAGUGGCGGACGGGUGAGUAAUGUCUGGGAAACUGCCUGAUGGAGGGGGAUAACUACUGGAAACGGUAGCUAAUACCGCAUAACGUCGCAAGACCAAAGAGGGGGACCUUCGGGCCUCUUGCCAUCGGAUGUGCCCAGAUGGGAUUAGCUAGUAGGUGGGGUAACGGCUCACCUAGGCGACGAUCCCUAGCUGGUCUGAGAGGAUGACCAGCCACAUUGACAGUGAGACAGGGUCCAGACGCCUGCGGGGGGCGGAGGUGGGGAAUAUUGCACAAGGGGCGAAAGCUGGAUGCAGCAGUGCCGCGUGUAUGAAGAAGCCCUUGGGGUUGAAAAGUACUUACAGCGGGGAGGAGGGGAGUAAAUUUAACACCUUGUCUCAUUGAGGUUCCCCGAAAAAGAGGCCCGGGCUAACCCGGUC